rnacentral:rRNA from 1 species
GACGAACGCUGGCGGCGUGCUUAACACAUGCAAGUCGAACGAUCUAGUCGUCGGUCAUCAGACGUCAGACGUCAGGGGAACGAAUGGAACUGAAGAAAGAACUCGCUUUAGCGAAAAUCUAUUCCGAAACCCUUACGACCGAUGUCCGAUGACUGACGACCGAAUAGUGGCGGACGGGUGAGUAACGCGUGGGCAACCUACCCAUAAGAGGGGGAUAACAGCUGGAAACGGCUGCUAAUACCGCAUAAGCUUUUUGAGACACAUGUUUUAGAAAGUAAAGGAGGCGCAAGCUUCCGCUUAUGGAUGGGCCCGCGUCUGAUUAGCUAGUUGGUAGGGUAGCGGCCUACCAAGGCAACGAUCAGUAGCCGGCCUGAGAGGGUGGACGGCCACACUGGGACUGAGAACGGCCCAGACUCCUACGGGAGGCAGCAGUGGGGAAUAUUGCGCAAUGGGGGAAACCCUGACGCAGCGACGCCGCGUGAGCGAAGAAGGCCUCGGUUGUAAGCGUCU